GACGAACGCUGGCGGCGUGCCUAAUACAUGCAAGUCGAGCGGACGGAUGGGAGCUUGCUCCCAGACCGUCAGCGGCGGACGGGUGAGUAACACGUGGGCAACCUGCCUGUAAGACUGGGAUAACUCCGGGAAACCGGGGCUAAUACCGGAUAACUCUUUCCCUCACAUGAGGGAAAGCUGAAAGAUGGCAUCUCGCUAUCACUUACAGAUGGGCCCGCGGCGCAUUAGCUAGUUGGUGAGGUAACGGCUCACCAAGGCGACGAUGCGUAGCCGACCUGAGAGGGUGAUCGGCCACACUGGGACUGAGCCACGGCCCAAGCUCCUACAGGAGGCAGCAGAAGGGAAUCUUCCGCAAUGGACGAAAGUCUGACGGAGCAACGCCGCGUGAGUGAUGAUGGUUUUCGGAUCGUAAAACUCUGUUGUCAGGGAAGAACAAGUACCGGAGUAACUGCCGGUACCUUGACGGUACCUGACCAGAGAGCCACGGCUAACUACGUG
rnacentral:rRNA from 1 species